rnacentral:lncRNA from 1 species
CUCUGUCGCCCAGGCUGGAGUGCAGUUGUGCAGUCUCGGCUCACUGCAAGCUCCGCCUCCCAGGAGAAUUGCUUGAACCCGGGAGGCAGAGGUUGCAGUGAGCCAGGAUCAUGCCACUGCACUCCAGCCUGGGCAACAGGGUGAGACUCUGUCUCAAAAAAAAAAAAUGAACUAGCAGCAACCUUCUAGCCCAUGAAAUCUUCCACUUCUUGGGCAACAAAGAAUAAUUAAGUUAUGAAAACUAAACCAUAAUCACACUCGUAAUGCUUAUGAGUUAAUAAUAGAUUUUUGCACAAGUUGUGUUUGAAAACAUUUAUUCAUUGCACUUAAGUCUUUCUCAAAACACAAAGCUGUCCUUGAAUUUUUAAUAUAGUUCAUUAAAUUGAAAAAAUUCUCAUUUUCUUUCCCAUGUUUUUAUUCUUCAAUCUCUGACUCUUUUCAUCAAUAGAGUAAAAUGGUUUUCAUUAUCCAGUGAGUACAUAUAACAAAAACUUUCAAUAUAUAUAAAGACAGCCAUGUGAUUUCAGCUUUAAUCUCUCUUUUUAUUCUGAACUAAAGUCAGAUACACUUCAAAAUGUUGGUAAAAUGUAUAUAUUUUGGUGUGACAUUGUGACAGUUAAGGUAUACAUUCAGCCUUUUCUCAGGCAUAUUGAAAAUGGUAGUAGUUGAGGUAGUUGAGACACUGAAUGAGGUAGAUGUUCACGAUUUAGAAAAAAAUAUUAUUUUCAAUUUUCAAAUCAUAUCUGAUAUAAAUGAAGGGAAAAGGUAAUACCUUGUCAUUUCAGAUGAAACUAAAAUAUUUUGGCUUUAUCAACAGACAUAAAUUUUGAAGGCUUACCAAUACAAUUGGUAUGCUUUUAUGUAAUUAGAGAACUCCAAAAAGCACUUAGAAAUAGCUCGUAAAUCUACCAUAUGUUGACAGCACUUUAAUGAAUUUCUCUAGACUGUGAAUAAAAAUUUGGACUCCAGUGCUCUUUAUAUUUUAUUCACUUAGAAAAAGUAAGACAGGAUUGCUCAGAUUUAUUGUCAUAUAUCAUAAAAGUAACUACAAAAUAUCUACUCAUUAUAGUUAAAGAUUUACAGUGAACAUUUUAUAGUAUGUUUUCUCUUAAUUAUGUUAAUUGUUCACAAAUGAGAACACUCAAAACCAGUGCUUCUAAGAUUAAACUAAGAUUAGAUCCAGUGGCCUGGCAUCUCUCAGGAGUUUUUCAUAGGGAUCCAACCCAUAGUGAAAUCUCAGGAGGUCCUCUCAAAUAAUGGAGUUUAAUUAUUACUCAUAAAUGGGCAGUUUUCCACACUAACAGAUGUUCUCAAUCUCAUGCAACCCCACUACUUGGUGUUGCAAUUCCCACUACUUUUCCUUAUCCAUUCAAUACUUUCCCCUGUGUCCAGAUAGUUGCUGAAUCAGCAUUUACCCACUUUAUGAAUACUCAGAAUAAAAUACCAACACUUAGACUCCUCUCCCCCAACCUUUUUUUCCUAUCAAAUUAACAAAGACAGAAAAUCAUGUUAAUACCUAGUUUGGUAAGAGUGGGGCAAAAAUUUACUCUCAGGCAUUGCUGUUGGGAAUGUAAUAUGAUAAAAGUGUUCUGGAAAAGAAAAAAAACAAGUGCUGUAUAUAUGAGUAGAUCCUUUUAGCUCCAGUUACUCUUAUCCUGCAUUGGGGAAUCUAUCCAAAGGAAAUAAUCCAAAAAUGUAAUUAUAUUAUGCCAGAAGCAGGUCUUGGAAAUAUUUUAUAUAUUUAGUAAAUAAGAAGAAACAUCUCAAAUAUUCAGCAGUAAGGGAGUGCAGCAGAUCAUGGAAUGCUCACAUAACAGAGUAAUAUGCAGCCAUUAAAAUUUAUGCUUGUUUAUUCAAGGGCAUGGGCAAGUAUGGAUAUGGUAAAUAAUGCAGGAUACUUUCAUGUAUGAUAUGAUUUCAGCUAUGGAAAAUAUAGAGAAAAAUGAUGUGGAGCUAUUUCUAAACUAUAAACCUAAUAUUCCUAAAUAUUUGCUUCCGGUUGGUAUGUGAUCCUUCCCUCUGCCUGUUUUUCUGUACUCAUCUGAAUUUCCAUACUGAACUUGUAAUAUUCUUUUGAUCAGAAAAUAUUAAAGGAAAAUCACAACAGAUUUGGAAAACAAUCAUUAACUAAAUUUCUGCCCCAGUCUUACUCAGGAUUCAGUUUUUCCAACCUCUAAAGAUUUAAAUUUUUUUAACUUUUCAUACUAGAAUUCAGCUUAUAAAGUCUUGAAAGUCACCUUUUUCCCUUUCUGACAUCUGUUUCAUAAAGAAAAUGACUUAGUGGUAACUGG